ensembl:lncRNA
ACACCCAUGCAGUGGGACACUCUCUCACACACACGUGCAAUGGGACACUCUCUCACACACACGUGCAGUGGGACACACUCUCACACACACGUGCAAUAGGAGACACACACACACAAACACGUGCAGUGGGACACACUCUCACACACAUGCAGUGGGACACACUCUCACACACACGUGCAGUGGGACACACUCACACACACGUGCAGUGGGACACACUCUCACACACACGUGCAUUGUGACACACUCUCACACACACGCAGAUGGAACACACUCUCACACACACAUGCAGUGGGACACACACUCACACACACGUGCAGUGGGACACUCUCUCACACACACAUGCAGUGGGACACACUCUCACACACACAUGCAAUAGGAGACACACACACACAAACAGUGGGACACACGCAGGAAGCUGCUGAUUGGCUCAGAGUCUGUC